rnacentral:rRNA from 1 species
CCAGCAUUCAGUUGGGCACUCUAAGGUGACUGCCGGUGACAAACCGGAGGAAGGUGGGGAUGACGUCAAAUCAUCAUGCCCCUUAUGACCUGGGCUACACACGUGCUACAAUGGACAGAACAAAGGGCAGCGAAACCGCGAGGUUAAGCCAAUCCCACAAAUCUGUUCUCAGUUCGGAUCGCAGUCUGCAACUCGACUGCGUGAAGCUGGAAUCGCUAGUAAUCGCGGAUCAGCAUGCCGCGGUGAAUACGUUCC